rnacentral:rRNA from 1 species
UGGGGAAUCUUGCGCAAUGGGCGAAAGCCUGACGCAGCAACGCCGCGUGCGGGAUGAAGGCCUUCGGGUUGUAAACCGCUUUCAGCAGGGACGAAAUUGACGGUACCUGCAGAAGAAGCCCCGGCCAACUACGUGCCAGCAGCCGCGGUAACACGUAGGGGGCAAGCGUUGUCCGGAUUUAUUGGGCGUAAAGAGCUCGUAGGCGGCUCGGUAAGUCGGGUGUGAAACCUCCAGGCUCAACCUGGAGACGCCACCUGAUACUGCUGUGGCUAGAGUCCGGUAGGGGAGUGUGGAACUCCUGGUGUAGCGGUGAAAUGCGCAGAUAUCAGGAAGAACACCAGCGGCGAAGGCGGCACUCUGGGCCGGAACUGACGCUGAGGAGCGAAAGCGUGGGUAGCAAACA